rnacentral:sRNA from 1 species
CCAGUGAGCCGAGAUCACGCCACUGCACUCCGGCCUGUGCAUCAGAGAGAGACUCUGUCGGCAAAAACAAAACCAAAACAAACCUUUACCCACUCCUCCUAAACAACCCCUAAAAAACUGCUCUGAAAAGCAGGGAAUAUCAUUGUGCAAAGUAAGUUGUUUUUUUCCACGGGGCUGUCUGCGUAAAACUUGCCACUUAGAGCUCUGCCUGCACCGUCGUGAUGGCCCAGCCUGCAGGUGAGCUUCCUCGCACCCCCGCCUGACCUGAGCGCCCCUCCCUGAGUCAGACACAGUGUCCUCGCCCUGCAGGAGGCCAGAGGGCCCGUCUGCUGCUCGUGGCCAGGCUGGGCCUUGGGAUGCCUGACCCCCUCCAGAGCAAGCCCCUUAGAUGCCCGGCAGGAUCCUCUCUCCCCUCCCGUCCCUCGGGAGGUUUCCCCACACUGUGUCCAGUGUGAGGCUGAAGUUGAGAUCACGGCACAGGAGCCUCUGAGGUCCUUGGAGAAUGAGGCGCUUGAUGAUGAGCAGGAUCUGAGUGCUGCCUGGAAGGAGGUUUGAGGUCAUCAAUGGACAGGCAGCUUGUCCCAGUACUUGGAACUCGGGGCAGCAGAGCUGCCUAGCUGGGCACAACCUGGGCCACCCCACAAAGGGCAGGAGUGGGAGGGGCCAAAGAUGGUGCUCCCAGGCCACCUGGACCUUUUUGUCCAGCUGGUCCUUGGGCAUGAAGCGGGGUGGCACUGAGGGUGGGGGUGCCCGUAACUGGAGCCCAUGUUUGCCACACAGGGUCGGGUGUGCUGACAGCCGGCCGCUCAGCCCUGCCUGCCCCACGCCAAAGGAAGUGACUGCUGCCCCAGCCGUGGCUGUGCCCCCCGAGGCUACUGUGGCCAUCACCACAGCACUGAGCAAGGCUGGCCCCGCCAUACCCACCCCGGCAGUCUCCUCGGCAGUGGCCGUGGCGGCCCCCCUAGGGCCCAUCAUGGCAGUCACAGCAGCCCCAGCCAUGGUGGCCACCCUGGGCACAGUGACAAAAGACGGGAAGACAGAUGCCCCGCCGGAAGGAGCUGCCUUAAAUGGCCCCGUGUGAUGCUGCUGCCGCCCGGCCACGGCCCGCCCUGGUCAGGCUGCAUCCUUAAUCGAGAAAACUACCUGGUGAUGCAAUCUUUUUUUUUUUAAUUUAAUUUAAUUUUAAAAUAAAUGCUGCAUUGGUAAAGCUG